rnacentral:piRNA from 1 species
UACAAAAGGAGAGAGAAAUCCAGGUUAGU